rnacentral:rRNA from 1 species
UACAGAGGGUGCAAGCGUUUGUUCGGAAUUAUUGGGCGUAAAGCGCGUGUAGGCGGCUUUGCAAGUCGGGGUGUGAAAUCCCUCAGCUCAACUGAGGAAGUGCGCCCGAAACUGCAUGGCUCGAGUACCGGAGAGGAUGGUGGAAUUCCCCAAGUAGAGGUGAAAUUCGUAGAUAUGGGGGAGGAACACCGGUGGCGAAGGCGGGGUCUCUGGGCAGUAACUGACGCUGAGGAGCGAAAGCGUGGGGAGCGAACAGG